UAAGCGACUCAUCAACUUCACCUGCUUCGUUCUAUUGCAGAAGCGUAGACGUUUAUCACCUUUUUCAAUUGUCUUCUGUAACGUCGGUCUCCACCAAUCUUUCUCAUUAAACUCCUUUUUCACAGCUACAAUCGUGACCGAUGCAACCGUUCCAAAUCCCUCAUUUUUAUGUCGGGAAAAAAAUCCGAAGGAUGCUGGGAUGCUGGGAUGCUGGGCCGGUUCUUCUUCCUUAGCUUGAGCGAAUCACUGUGACUGUCUGAGGACGACUAAUAGGAAGAAGAUGAUGAAGCCCUGUUUCAGAGGUCAAUAAGAUCUUCAAGGGUUUUCCUCAAAUAUAAAAUCCCACAGGUGAAGGUUGGAAGAAGACCUGGUGAUGCAGAGAAUCAGAGCUCCUUAACCGAAAAGAACUUGAACUGAACUGGAAGUCAAACAGUGGAACAGAAGAGAUGUGUAGGGAGCAAUGUAACUGGCCCAGAAACGAAGCUCAAGUGAAAUUUGCUAUUCUAGCGUACCAUCUCUUUUUCAGAGUGAUUUAAAUGUCAAAGCAACAGUCUGAGCUACACCAACAAAAACAGAAGACUGAAGAUUAAGGAAUUUGGAGUUGCGAUUAAAAGAAAAUUAGAAACCAUGCGCAUAUUUAGUUUAUUCCAUUACAUUUAUGAAGAAAUCUGCACUGGUGUCAAUGCAACAGUCUUCUCUACUAUUUGGUACAUUCCAUUACAUUAACGCAGAAAGCACUGGUGUCAAUGCCUCACGGAGAUUCCAUUACACGCAUGUCUUGAAUAAAACAGCAAGGGCAAGAAAUAAAGAAGCCGAUCAGAAGUCACACAUGCUCUUUUGCGAGCUAUGAAGUCGCACGACUUGAACUGCUGCUAGCUACUACAAAUUUGUGAGCCAUGAAAUAAGAAGUGCUUUAAGGUCAUUCUAUCCCUAAUCGAUUCAGUGGUAGGCAGUUACCAUGCACUGUUUCCAGAAGGAACUCCCAUGGAGUUGCUGGAUACUAACUCCUACCGAUUUGUGGUGUUGAUGCAAGGUCUUAAGAAAGCUCAGCAGAGCAUACUUGAUGAUCUCAUCAAGCAUGGCCCAAGGUUUACACAGCCCUCUGUUUCAGGGGUAAUGCCACAAGUGGUUCCAGCCCACCUGCACUGCGCUGGUAAUCACUAAUCCGGGUACAACAGCUAGGUUUAUAGCAAACAGCGAGGAUGUGUUAACCAGGCAGAAGCUCUUGGCAGAGGAUCUGAAACCAUUGGCUUUAAUAAUUUAAUUGCUCUCACUGAAGCUGCCAAAGACCUCAAAGAUGGUCUCUCUCUCACUUUUAACAGGACAAACAAGCUUUCUUCAAGACUUUCUUCAAGACUUUCUUCACGUGGCUUAAACCAGGUUCAUCAGCGACUGAUGUAGGAGCUUGAAAGCUCCAUCUCCUGAGUUUUCAGAGUACAUCAAACAGAGAAGAUAUGAUCUCCAUGAUGUUCAAGCAUAUGCGAAGGUUUUUUUCCUUUGUCAAUGAUAUGUGUUUCUGUGUGUAUCAAAACCCUAAGCUUUAAUCCAUGUAACAAAAAUAUGCAUUGUAUUAUGCUAAAGACGCCAGUUUUAAGUUCAAACUUUUAUUAUC